rnacentral:lncRNA from 1 species
ACUUAAAUAUUUUUAUUCUAAUAAAAUAGUAAUAAUAGAAUGGUUUAAUAACUUAUUUUUUUCUCUCUUUUUUGAGGCUUCUAAAUUGAACCGUUUCUUAUUUUGGGGAAGCUGCAACCUUAUCAGCUAAGGCAGAAGUUGUCCCAUCCACACUCCCGGAAUCAUCUCCCACAGAGCUUUUAAACCUUUCAGCCAGUUUAGCCACCCCCGACUGAAACUCAGGGUCUGUUACUAUUUUUUUCAAUUGUUCCCCUUGUACUCCGCCUUCAUGCAAUGCAGCAAUAAAGCCGGACAUAACUGAAGCCGUAAAUACCCUCAUGGAUUCUGGGGAUGCUGCAACCUCAUCAGCUAAGGCAGAAGUUGUCCCGUCCACACUCCCGGAAUAAUCUCCAACAGAGCUUUUAAACAUUUCAUCGAGUUUACCCAUCCUCGACUUAAAGGUAGGGUCUGCUAUUAUUUUGUUGAAUUGCUCCCCAAAGUCGGACAUAGCAAGUUCUGGGGAUGCCGCCUCAUCCUCCUUUUUUCCUACUGCAAAUUGGAUUGAGAGCAUCAAAGCCAAUGAGAAUACAACGAAAGAAACCUUCGCCAUGUUUUUUUUUUGUUUUUUUUUUUAAAAUUUUAAGAAAAAAAAGUAAGAUAUAUUUUUAUCGAUGGAACUGAGACCAAUUUUAAAGAGUUUAAAAUGAGAUUUUUUUUGCCAAAUUUAGGGGCGGUUGAAUGGUCUGGUGCUUAAUAGCCAUACACCAUUAACAGCCAAAGUAUGUAAUUUUUCUUUAUUUUGACUCUUUUCUCUUUCUUCCCCCUUUUAUUGUUUCCCGAAAUAGGGUUUAUUUUAAUCAAGUUUCAAUGUUCUUCAGAUGGGAAGAAAUGGGACUUCAAGAUUAGGGAUUAAAACUUAAAAGGAAGAAGAUAAAUAGGGUAAAUAGGUAAUGAGUAUUUUGUGUAUAUUUCCAUUCAAUACAACUUUAAUCAUGGGCGAAGCCAGAACAAUUAUUUAGGGGGCGAAUGAAAUUUUAAUUUUUUUAUAGUCUAUAUCUUUAUAAUUUUUAAGGGAUCAAAUUGAAUUUUUAUAAUUUCAGGAGGGGCCAAAGUGUAAUUUUAUAAUUUUGUAAUUUUUUUAAAGGCCUAAAUAAUAAUUUUUCAUUUUAGGGGGGCUAGGGCCCUGCCAGCCCCCUAGCUGCGCCUCUGACUUUAAUCACCAUUUAAAAAUCUAAUUUUGACAAUUCAUAAAUGAGUCUUACAUAUUUAAACAUCGAUAAUUAAUGUAUUGAGAAGCGAUGGAUGAAAAAGUACCGAUAGACGUUGGAAAAAAUUAAUAAUGCAUAAUAUGAAUUAUACUUAAUGUUAAUAUAACAUUUAUUUUUAAUUAUCCUAAAUUCAAGGUAAAAGAUAUGAUUUAAUGCUUUUCUUAAUUAGUGUAUCAAAUUCGGAAAUAAUUUUUCAAAAAAAUAUUGGCCAAAAAACUUUACAAAAGUUAGAUCUUACAAUUUUUAGAAAGAAAAUUUUAGCUUUGAAUAAAACCGUGGUUAAUGCCACUCUUUACAAUAUUGAAAAAAAAUUUAUUAAACCUAAGCUUAGAACAUUAAGCGAACAUCAGAUCUAAUGUGUAUUAUCGUCCGUCACCAGUGACAGUUUAAUUUCAUAUUCAAGCGUACCUCUCACAUAUUAUAGUGGACCUUCCAGAAUAAUCAAUCGUUCAAUUACAUCUUCAUCUGUCUGAGUUAUGCAGCCAGUAAUUUUAUUGACAUUCCGUUGAAUGUAUAUCAAUUUUUAAUAAUAAUAUAUAAAUGAAACAUAGUUAUAUGGUUCUAAUAAAAACAACCCGGAUCAAUAUAAGAAAAGGCUACAGACACACCAAAAGGGGCAAGGAUCGACUCUGCUUUUUGGAACAGGACGUCAUUCUCCGCUCCAAAUUGGCCUCCGUUGAUACAUAGUAUCAACAAACACAAUACGAUCUUUGUUUGUGGAGUUAAAAAUGAAUAAAACUAAAUUGCAUAUAUAAUUCUUAAAAGGAAAGAAAAAAGUAAAAGUAAAAUUGAGCACAUUACUUAGAAUCCGUAUGUUUCUAGCAGAGACGAGUCCUCCAUGAGGGAUGAAAUUGAAAAGUAAGAAUAAAGCCCACAGGAAGCAGCAAAGGAUGAGAGAAAAUGAAGCUUUCAUAAUUCCCAUCAUAAUAAUAUGUUUUCUUUUCUCAAGGAAACUAUUUUAUUAUACCAUCAUAUAAAUUUUUUCAUAUGAAUGAGGGUCUUCUUCUUCUUUCAUAACAAUGACAGUGAAGCUUGAAAUUUGGUUAAGUUGGGUGUUGUUGGGUGAAACUGGUGUGGUGAUCCAAACAUACCACAACUUAGGAUUAUUAUUCCCCCACCCUAUUCGUAUUAAAAUCGUAAGUAUUCUUUUUUUUGUCGAUUUCAAACUCUGAUUAGCCUGUACUCAUAUGACGUGACAUACAAUUGAGAGAAAAUACUUACGGGACUAAAAUUUUUAAACUGAAAAGAAAAAGGAUUAAAUUUUUUAUUCUUUGAUUACAAUAUUGUUAUUUGUUUUAAAUUUCUUAUCAAAUGUCGGAAUAAAAAAAAAUGGGACCAAAGGUGUGUUCAUUUUCGAGUUUGGCUCUCAUCUGUAUAUAUUUUUAUCCAAUAUAGCUUUAAUCAUCGUUUAAAACUAUGGCUUUGACAAUUCAUAGAUUAGUACUACACAUUUGAAAAUCGAUGAAUAAAAAAGUAUCGAACAAGAUCCCGAAUCCAUGCUUUACAAAGUCAAAGUCAAGCUGUUAGAGGGAAAAAUGAAUAUGAUUUUCUUGUGGUGAUACAAGUCCCUUUGAAUAAUAGUAAAAAUAAAAAGGCCUAAUAUAUUUUUGGCAUAAUGUUAAAGUGAAUCUUUAAUGUUCAUGUUUUACAUAUUUAAACAUUGAUAAUUAACGUAUUGAAAAGCGAUGAAUGAAAAAGUAUCGAUACGGUUGAAAAAAAAUUAAGGGUAAACUACACCCAUGGUCACUUUUGUUUACUUUAAGUUACGUUUUAGUCACUUGUGUUUGAAAUGUUACGUUUUAGUCAUUUACGUUAUCAUGUUGUAACAUUUUAGUCACUGAGCCAUUAAUAGCCGUUAAUGGUGUAACGGUAAGCUGACGUGGCACGUUAAAUCAUCAUUUCAAACAAAAUUUUAGGUUAAAUUAUACAACUGAUCCCCAUAUUUUUUUCGUUUUAAGUAAUUUAAUUUUUUUCUUUUAUGUUCUUUAAACUUUUCUCUUUUUUUCCAUUCUCUUUUGUUUCUCCCUCUGUUUUCAUACCUUUCCCAUUUCAUGUAACAUAUUAGGAAGUCGAAUUGGCAAUGAAAAAAUAAGUAGGAAGUCGACUGUCAUCAUUUGCCUAUAACCAAAACCCAUAAACCCAUACCAUGCUUCUUUUUUCACUACCAAUUUGACUUCCUGGUAUGUUAAAAGAAAUAAAAAAGGCAGAAAAACAGAGGGAGAAGUAGAAGAGAAUGGAAAAAAAAAGAAAGAAAGUUAAAAGAACAUAAAAGAAUUAAAUUGCUCAAAACGAAAAAUUAUGGGGACCAAUUGUAUAAUUUAACCUAAAGUUUUUGUUUGAAAUGAUGAUUUGACAUGCCACGUCAGUUUACCAUUACAUCAUUAACGACAAUUAACGGCUCAGUGACUAAAAUGUUACAAUACGAUAACAUAAGUGACUGAAAUGUAACAUUUCAAAUAUAAGUGACUGAAAUGUAACCUAAGGUAAACAAAAGUGACCAUGGGUGUAGUUUACCCAAAAAUUAAUAAUACAUUAAAAUUAAAGCUAGAAUUGAAUUAUCUAAUUCUAUAUAAAAUUUAAAUUAUAAGGGCUUGAUGUGGUUGCAAAUAAGAUUUCUUUUUGUUUAUAUCUUGUGGUAUUAUAACAUUUAUUUCUAAUUAUCCUAAAUUCAAGGUGAAAGAUAUGAUUUAAUGCUUUUCUUAAUUAGUGUAUCAAAUUCCGCAAUGAUUUUUCUGGCCAAAAAAAACUUUAUACAAUUUUUAGAAAGAAAAUUUUAGCUUUGGAUAAAAUCGUGAUUCACCCCUGCAUGCUAGAGCGCUUUUAUAUGACAAGGCCACUCAUUGUUUCAUAUGUUUGUUUUUAAUGUUUAUUUUGUAGGUGGAGAUAACAAACUUUAAAUUAAAGAGUUAAUGGCACCAGACGUCCCCAAACUUUGAAAUAUUUUAAUUACAUCCUAAAGCUAUCGAUGUUACAUUUAUCAGGUCAUUCUAUUUCUAAAACCGUUAUUUUAACCUUUAAAUGACACAAAAAAAUCUUAUAUAACAUAAUUUAAAAAUGAAAAUUUAAAAAAAAAGGAAAAUGUUGUCACAUAGCCUCAAACCAAAGAUUUUUACAACACCCAUUUUUAAAAUAUUCAUCUUUAAAUUAUGUCACAUAAAAUCCGACAUCUCAUUUAACAAUUUUAGUAACGGAAGGACCUUAUUGACAUAUUACCAAUAGUUUAAGGAUAAAAUUAGAAUAUUUUGAAUUUUAUAAAAUUAAAUGAAUAUGUCACAUGCACACAAUUUUUUGUUUUUUUUUUCCUUGAGUAAAACUUAAUUUAACUUAAAUAUUUUUAUUCUAAUAAAAUAGUAAUAAUAGAAUGGUUUAAUAACUUAUUUUUUUCUCUCUUUUUUGAGGCUUCUAAAUUGAACCGUUUCUUAUUUUGGGGAAGCUGCAACCUUAUCAGCUAAGGCAGAAGUUGUCCCAUCCACACUCCCGGAAUCAUCUCCCACAGAGCUUUUAAACCUUUCAGCCAGUUUAGCCACCCCCGACUGAAACUCAGGGUCUGUUACUAUUUUUUUCAAUUGUUCCCCUUGUACUCCGCCUUCAUGCAAUGCAGCAAUAAAGCCGGACAUAACUGAAGCCGUAAAUACCCUCAUGGAUUCUGGGGAUGCUGCAACCUCAUCAGCUAAGGCAGAAGUUGUCCCGUCCACACUCCCGGAAUAAUCUCCAACAGAGCUUUUAAACAUUUCAUCGAGUUUACCCAUCCUCGACUUAAAGGUAGGGUCUGCUAUUAUUUUGUUGAAUUGCUCCCCAAAGUCGGACAUAGCAAGUUCUGGGGAUGCCGCCUCAUCCUCCUUUUUUCCUACUGCAAAUUGGAUUGAGAGCAUCAAAGCCAAUGAGAAUACAACGAAAGAAACCUUCGCCAUGUUUUUUUUUUGUUUUUUUUUUAAAAAUUUUAAGAAAAAAAAGUAAGAUAUAUUUUUAUCGAUGGAACUGAGACCAAUUUUAAAGAGUUUAAAAUGAGAUUUUUUUUGCCAAAUUUAGGGGCGGUUGAAUGGUCUGGUGCUUAAUAGCCAUACACCAUUAACAGCCAAAGUAUGUAAUUUUUCUUUAUUUUGACUCUUUUCUCUUUCUUCCCCCUUUUAUUGUUUCCCGAAAUAGGGUUUAUUUUAAUCAAGUUUCAAUGUUCUUCAGAUGGGAAGAAAUGGGACUUCAAGAUUAGGGAUUAAAACUUAAAAGGAAGAAGAUAAAUAGGGUAAAUAGGUAAUGAGUAUUUUGUGUAUAUUUCCAUUCAAUACAACUUUAAUCAUGGGCGAAGCCAGAACAAUUAUUUAGGGGGCGAAUGAAAUUUUAAUUUUUUUAUAGUCUAUAUCUUUAUAAUUUUUAAGGGAUCAAAUUGAAUUUUUAUAAUUUCAGGAGGGGCCAAAGUGUAAUUUUAUAAUUUUGUAAUUUUUUUAAAGGCCUAAAUAAUAAUUUUUCAUUUUAGGGGGGCUAGGGCCCUGCCAGCCCCCUAGCUGCGCCUCUGACUUUAAUCACCAUUUAAAAAUCUAAUUUUGACAAUUCAUAAAUGAGUCUUACAUAUUUAAACAUCGAUAAUUAAUGUAUUGAGAAGCGAUGGAUGAAAAAGUACCGAUAGACGUUGGAAAAAAUUAAUAAUGCAUAAUAUGAAUUAUACUUAAUGUUAAUAUAACAUUUAUUUUUAAUUAUCCUAAAUUCAAGGUAAAAGAUAUGAUUUAAUGCUUUUCUUAAUUAGUGUAUCAAAUUCGGAAAUAAUUUUUCAAAAAAAUAUUGGCCAAAAAACUUUACAAAAGUUAGAUCUUACAAUUUUUAGAAAGAAAAUUUUAGCUUUGAAUAAAACCGUGGUUAAUGCCACUCUUUACAAUAUUGAAAAAAAAUUUAUUAAACCUAAGCUUAGAACAUUAAGCGAACAUCAGAUCUAAUGUGUAUUAUCGUCCGUCACCAGUGACAGUUUAAUUUCAUAUUCAAGCGUACCUCUCACAUAUUAUAGUGGGCCUUCCAAAAUAAUCAAUCGUUCAAUUACAUCUUCAUCUGUCUGAGUUAUGCAGCCAGUAAUUUUAUUGACAUUCCGUUGAAUGUAUAUCAAUUUUUAAUAAUAAUAUAUAAAUGAAACAUAGUUAUAUGGUUCUAAUAAAAACAACUCGAAUCAAUAUAAGAAAAGGUUACAGACACACCAAAAGGGGCAAGGAUCGACUCUGCUUUUUGGAACAGGACGUCAUUCUCCGCUCCAAAUUGGCCUCCGUUGAUACAUAGUAUCAACAAACACAAUACGAUCUUUGUUUGUGGAGUUAAAAAUGAAUAAAGCUAAAUUGCAUAUAUAAUUCUUAAAAGGAAAGAAAAAGUAAAAGUAAAAUUGAGCACAUUACUUAGAAUCCGUAUGUUUCUAGCAGAGACGAGUCCUCCAUGAGGGAUGAAAUUGAAAAGUAAGAAUAAAGCCCACAGGAAGCAGCAAAGGAUGAGAGAAAAUGAAGCUUUCAUAAUUCCCAUCAUAAUAAUAUGUUUUCUUUUCUCAAGGAAACUAUUUUAUUAUACCAUCAUAUAAAUUUUUUCAUAUGAAUGAGGGUCUUCUUCUUCUUUCAUAACAAUGACAGUGAAGCUUGAAAUUUGGUUAAGUUGGGUGUUGUUGGGUGAAACUGGUGUGGUGAUCCAAACAUACCACAACUUAGGAUUAUUAUUCCCCCACCCCAUUCGUAUUAAAAUCGUAAGUAUUCUUUUUUUGUCAAUUUUAAACUCUGAUUAGCCUGUACUCAUAUGACGUGACAUACAAUUGAGAGAAAAUACUUACGGGACUAAAAUUUUUAAACUGAAAAGAAAAAGGAUUAAAUUUUUUAUUCUUUGAUUACAAUAUUGUUAUUUGUUUUAAAUUUCUUAUCAAAUGUUGGAAUAAAAAAAAAUUGGGACCAAAGGUGUGUUCAUUUUCGAGUUUGGCUCUCAUCUGUAUAUAUUUUUAUCCAAUAUAGCUUUAAUCAUCGUUUAAAACUAUGGCUUUGACAAUUCAUAGAUUAGUACUACACAUUUGAAAAUCGAUGAAUAAAAAAGUAUCGAACAAGAUCCCGAAUCCAUGCUUUACAAAGUCAAAGUCAAGCUGUUAGAGGGAAAAAUGAAUAUGAUUUUCUUGUGGUGAUACAAGUCCCUUUGAAUAAUAGUAAAAAUAAAAAGGCCUAAUAUAUUUUUGGCAUAAUGUUAAAGUGAAUCUUUAAUGUUCAUGUUUUACAUAUUUAAACAUUGAUAAUUAACGUAUUGAAAAGCGAUGAAUGAAAAAGUAUCGAUACGGUUGAAAAAAAAUUAAGGGUAAACUACACCCAUGGUCACUUUUGUUUACUUUAAGUUACGUUUUAGUCACUUGUGUUUGAAAUGUUACGUUUUAGUCAUUUACGUUAUCAUGUUGUAACAUUUUAGUCACUGAGCCAUUAAUAGCCGUUAAUGGUGUAACGGUAAGCUGACGUGGCACGUUAAAUCAUCAUUUCAAACAAAAUUUUAGGUUAAAUUAUACAACUGAUCCCCAUAUUUUUUUCGUUUUAAGUAAUUUAAUUUUUUUCUUUUAUGUUCUUUAAACUUUUCUCUUUUUUUCCAUUCUCUUUUGUUUCUCCCUCUGUUUUCAUACCUUUCCCAUUUCAUGUAACAUAUUAGGAAGUCGAAUUGGCAAUGAAAAAAUAAGUAGGAAGUCGACUGUCAUCAUUUGCCUAUAACCAAAACCCAUAAACCCAUACCAUGCUUCUUUUUUCACUACCAAUUUGACUUCCUGGUAUGUUAAAAGAAAUAAAAAAGGCAGAAAAACAGAGGGAGAAGUAGAAGAGAAUGGAAAAAAAAAGAAAGAAAGUUAAAAGAACAUAAAAGAAUUAAAUUGCUCAAAACGAAAAAUUAUGGGGACCAAUUGUAUAAUUUAACCUAAAGUUUUUGUUUGAAAUGAUGAUUUGACAUGCCACGUCAGUUUACCAUUACAUCAUUAACGACAAUUAACGGCUCAGUGACUAAAAUGUUACAAUACGAUAACAUAAGUGACUGAAAUGUAACAUUUCAAAUAUAAGUGACUGAAAUGUAACCUAAGGUAAACAAAAGUGACCAUGGGUGUAGUUUACCCAAAAAUUAAUAAUACAUUAAAAUUAAAGCUAGAAUUGAAUUAUCUAAUUCUAUAUAAAAUUUAAAUUAUAAGGGCUUGAUGUGGUUGCAAAUAAGAUUUCUUUUUGUUUAUAUCUUGUGGUAUUAUAACAUUUAUUUCUAAUUAUCCUAAAUUCAAGGUGAAAGAUAUGAUUUAAUGCUUUUCUUAAUUAGUGUAUCAAAUUCCGCAAUGAUUUUUCUGGCCAAAAAAAACUUUAUACAAUUUUUAGAAAGAAAAUUUUAGCUUUGGAUAAAAUCGUGAUUCACCCCUGCAUGCUAGAGCGCUUUUAUAUGACAAGGCCACUCAUUGUUUCAUAUGUUUGUUUUUAAUGUUUAUUUUGUAGGUGGAGAUAACAAACUUUAAAUUAAAGAGUUAAUGGCACCAGACGUCCCCAAACUUUGAAAUAUUUUAAUUACAUCCUAAAGCUAUCGAUGUUACAUUUAUCAGGUCAUUCUAUUUCUAAAACCGUUAUUUUAACCUUUAAAUGACACAAAAAAAUCUUAUAUAACAUAAUUUAAAAAUGAAAAUUUAAAAAAAAAGGAAAAUGUUGUCACAUAGCCUCAAACCAAAGAUUUUUACAACACCCAUUUUUAAAAUAUUCAUCUUUAAAUUAUGUCACAUAAAAUCCGACAUCUCAUUUAACAAUUUUAGUAACGGAAGGACCUUAUUGACAUAUUACCAAUAGUUUAAGGAUAAAAUUAGAAUAUUUUGAAUUUUAUAAAAUUAAAUGAAUAUGUCACAUGCACACAAUUUUUUGUUUUUUUUUUCCUUGAGUAAAACUUAAUUUAACUUAAAUAUUUUUAUUCUAAUAAAAUAGUAAUAAUAGAAUGGUUUAAUAACUUAUUUUUUUCUCUCUUUUUUGAGGCUUCUAAAUUGAACCGUUUCUUAUUUUGGGGAAGCUGCAACCUUAUCAGCUAAGGCAGAAGUUGUCCCAUCCACACUCCCGGAAUCAUCUCCCACAGAGCUUUUAAACCUUUCAGCCAGUUUAGCCACCCCCGACUGAAACUCAGGGUCUGUUACUAUUUUUUUCAAUUGUUCCCCUUGUACUCCGCCUUCAUGCAAUGCAGCAAUAAAGCCGGACAUAACUGAAGCCGUAAAUACCCUCAUGGAUUCUGGGGAUGCUGCAACCUCAUCAGCUAAGGCAGAAGUUGUCCCGUCCACACUCCCGGAAUAAUCUCCAACAAAGCUUUUAAACAUUUCAUCGAGUUUACCCAUCCUCGACUUAAAGGUAGGGUCUGCUAUUAUUUUGUUGAAUUGCUCCCCAAAGUCGGACAUAGCAAGUUCUGGGGAUGCCGCCUCAUCCUCCUUUUUUCCUACUGCAAAUUGGAUUGAGAGCAUCAAAGCCAAUGAGAAUACAACGAAAGAAACCUUCGCCAUGUUUUUUUUUUGUUUUUUUUUUAAAAAUUUUAAGAAAAAAAAGUAAGAUAUAUUUUUAUCGAUGGAACUGAGACCAAUUUUAAAGAGUUUAAAAUGAGAUUUUUUUUGCCAAAUUUAGGGGCGGUUGAAUGGUCUGGUGCUUAAUAGCCAUACACCAUUAACAGCCAAAGUAUGUAAUUUUUCUUUAUUUUGACUCUUUUCUCUUUCUUCCCCCUUUUAUUGUUUCCCGAAAUAGGGUUUAUUUUAAUCAAGUUUCAAUGUUCUUCAGAUGGGAAGAAAUGGGACUUCAAGAUUAGGGAUUAAAACUUAAAAGGAAGAAGAUAAAUAGGGUAAAUAGGUAAUGAGUAUUUUG